GCCAAUGUUGGAGAUUCACGAACUGUGAUAUCAAAAGCUGGGAAAGCAAUUCCUCUCUCUGAAGAUCAUAAACCAAACAGAAGUGAUGAAAGGAAGAGAAUUGAAAGUGCUGGGGGAGUAGUAAUGUGGGCAGGCACCUGGAGGGUAGGAGGUGUAUUAGCUAUGUCACGUGCUUUUGGUAACCGCAUGUUGAAGCAAUUUGUUGUAGCAGAACCUGAGAUACAGGAUCUGAAAAUAGAUGAAGAAUUUGAAUUGCUUGUGCUUGCAAGUGAUGGACUUUGGGAUGUUGUACCCAACGAGGAUGCCGUUUCAAUUGCUAGAACAGAAGAAGAACCUGAGGCAGCAGCCAGAAAAUUAACAGAGGCUGCUUUUACGCGUGGCAGUGCAGACAACAUAACAUGCAUUGCGGUGAGAUUCCAUCACGACAAAGCAGAUCCAGCCAAUGCCCAGAGUAAUUAGAAACUGGUAUUUAUGGUGCAUGUGUAGAUUUAUUGGUGCUUAGGCAAAAUCUAAUUUUGCAAUCUGGGCAUGCAUGACAACUGAAUGUGCAUAUGGAGGAGUUCAUUUGUUUAUUCAUUGUUUUGUUUCUUAAUAUACUCAUGUAUGCAGAACAUGGACUCAAGUGUCCUGUUUUAUUUAAAACCAGUAAGGUAGACAUACAGA
rnacentral:misc_RNA from 1 species